GGGGCUGAUUAGCUUCGACAUUGGUAACUUGAAAUAUAGCUGCAAGCCGAGCGAGAUCUCGUAAAAACUCAACUACAAAUAAGUGCAAAAAACUUGUUUAGCAAAGUAAAAGCUGCUUUUAGCAUGCCUAACUUUGCGCUAGCUGUUGCUUAAAAACCGACAGCCGUCGAAUGCUUGAUAUCUAGUAGAGUAUUUGGCGCCGAUUACUAGGUUGCGGUGAAAGUUUCUCUUUGGCUUUCAUUUAAGAAAAUAGAAGAGGAAGCGGGUAAAAUUUUUGGUUAGUUUAAAGUUUUAUCAGCUUCUAAACCAACUAAGCUAACUAAGCUUGUAGAAGUUAUAUUGACAGUCUGAUGGACGAGGGUGCAAUUCCCUCCAGCUCCACCA
rnacentral:tmRNA from 1 species